rnacentral:rRNA from 1 species
AAUAAUACAAUUUAAUUAGUUUUAGUAUUAAUAUGUAAGAAAUUAGUAAAUUUUAAGGGGAGAUUUAUUAAGUGGAAUUUUAAAUUUUUAGGGGGUUUAUUUUUGAUUAUUAGUUAAGAAAUUUAUUUAUAGACUAGGAUUAGAUACCCUAUUAUUUUAAAUGUAAAUUUUUACUAGAUUAGUAUUAGUUAAGUUCUUGAAAAUUAAAGAUUUUGGCGGUUUUUUAAUCUAUUCAGAGGAACCUGUUCUAUAAUUGAUAGUCCACGAUUUUUAUAACUUUUUUUAAUAGUUUAUAUAUCGUCGUAGUUUGAAUUUUCUAGUAGGAUUUUAAUUUUCAAGAGUUACUUUUUUAAAAGAAAUCAGAUCAAGGUAUAGUUUAUAAAAAAGAAGAAAUGGGUUACAUUAAUUUUAAUUUUGGAUUAUUUAUUGAAAAUAGGUAUGAAUUUGGAUUUGAGUGUAAUUUUAUGUAAAUUAAUAAAAUGAUUUUAGCUCUAAAAUAUGUACAUAUUGCCCGUCGCUUUCAUUUUAAGGUGGAAUAAGUCGUAACAAAGUAGGUUUACUGGAAAGUGAGUCUAGAAAGCAAGUUAGAGCUUGCUAUAAAGCGUGUUAUUUACACUAAUAAGUUAAUUGUGAAAUUCAGUUUUUCUUGAGAUAUAGAAAAUUAUAAAUAUAGGGUGAAUUUUAUAUAUUAAGAAAAGUAUUUUUUGUUUAGUAAUUAUAAGAAAAAUAGGGGUAGAUUAUAGAGGAUAAGUAUUGUAAUAGAAUUUUUUUUAUGGGUAAAAGAAAAAUUUUAUUUU